AACACGCGACGCGGGAGUCCCGAGACCGGGGGCUGAGAGUGGGUGCGUUCACCCUUACCGUCACACCUGAUCCGGGUCAUGCCGGCGUAGGAAGGAUGGAACCGUGCGUAG
rnacentral:ncRNA from 1 species